CGCCCCGCGUCGCAGAGACGGCCCCGCCCCCGUCACGGAGGGCACCUGGCCGCACGCCUUGCUACCCUCCCGGCUUGCAAGAGGGGGCGAGCCAGGCCUCCUGUAACCUGAGCGUGACUAUGAGGGGACGACGUGGGAACCAGGCCUUCUCCCUAGGAGAGGGAAAAGGAACCAGAGUCCCCGCCAUCUUUUUGGUUGGAGAGAAAAAGAGUCGUGUCCCAGCUGAGAUGGAGGCGAAGGAAACCAACCUCACUCCCUUUGGAAGAAUAAGAGGUGUCAGCCUCCCUACCCAGAGAGGGGAUGACAAAGGAAGCAAAGUAAAAGCUGAGUAUCUAGACAAAGAUUCCAAAACCAGCAGAGGCAUUGUGAUGACAUAAAAAGAGCACUAGCAAAAGAAUUCUGGAAGUGAGCAUUUCAGGGCAGAUGUGGUAGCUCCAUCAUCAAGCAGUCUUGCUGAUCUCAUGGCUUCCAUUCUCAAAAUCAUCUCAUGGUAACAAGAUUGAUGCUGCACCAAUAGCCAUUACAUCUACAUUCCAAGUAAUAGGAAUGAGCAAGAUUACAAGAGAUGACUGCAUAGUCAAUACCAUUUAAAGAUCUUUCCUGGAAGUCCCACUCAAGUACUGUCAUUUGGCCACUUAUCUUCAGGUGAGACUAAGAAAUAAAGCUUUUCAUGUGGGUACA
rnacentral:lncRNA from 13 species